rnacentral:lncRNA from 1 species
UAGUGGUGGUUGACGUUGAAACUUUUGGCCAAAUGUUGAAACUUGAAGGUGGAAAUAUUGGAAAAGCCACCAAGAUUUUUAAAGGUUUUCCACUUCAUUCAUGACAAGCAAUUAGGCCAAUGUCAAUUUCCUAGUGAAAUUUGGCACGAAACCUCUCGUCUUAUAGUAAAUGGGACCUAUUAUGUUUAUUCCUGGCUAAUCCCUUUCACACCUCUGUUUGAUAUUAUUGUCUGCGACUAAUAAUGAAUCAGCACAUUUUACGACCAAGUCCCUCAAUCACGUCUUCGCUACAAAGAAGUUAUAAUAUAAUCCUAUAAAUAGCUUAGCAGGAUUGCACCUCUUCCUCAAAUUCUCAUAACCCUUCAUUCCACCAGGCCAAAAAAAAUGAAGCUUUCGCAGAUGCGUCUGUGUAGCGUGUUACUGUUAGUAGCGGUGAUUGUUGGUGAAGUGGAAGUGAGCAGGGCAGUGACGUGUACUCCGACGGAGCUGAGUCCUUGCGUUUCGGCAAUCAUAUCGAACCAGCCACCGUCGCCGGCUUGCUGCAGUAAGCUGAGGGAGCAGAGGCCCUGCCUCUGUGGUUAUCUCAGAGAUCCCAACCUCCGGCAGUAUGUCAACUCCCCUAAUGCUCGCAGGGUUGCUAGCUCCUGUGGUGUGCCCACCCCAAGAUGCUAAACUCCUCCUCCGUUGCAACAAUUCUGGAUCAUUAAUAGUAGUACUUAAUAUUUCUACUCCCAGCCUACUUCGGAUAAUACGAAUGAAAGAGCAAUAAAUAAAUGUUGUACCAACAUCAAAUCUUGCCUAUUAGGCUUGUAUCAUGUAAUGCCGGGAUUAACUUAAGUACCAUAUGUUACUGCUUCGGUAUGCAUCUCUGCCUCCCAUUUAUUUAAUUCUAUUAUUACACUGCACAAUUAUCUUCUGAUGGAAUCAGACAUAAUUCACACAAGGUGACGAAUCCUCAAUACUAUAUAACAGUAUAUAUGAUCACUUUUAAUAUCACCAAUUCGGUCGAUCGAUCACCAAGGUGAGAAUUUGCGUUUUGCCUGCCCCCGUUGGUAAACUCAUAGCAUACCCACAAGCAACAAACUGCUCUCUCUGAUUGCAUUUUUAGCCAAAAAAAAAACAAAAAAACAAAAAAGCGAAGAGAAGAAUGAAAUACUAAGAACAUAUGAGCCAAGUGCCGUUGUGAAUUUGAGUUUUUUUUUUUUUUUCCCCCUUCUCUCGUGCAACUGACCACUUCUUUUUCUCUAUUAUUAUCAGUGCUAAGGGCACACCUAUUAUGCUGUAUGUGCAAUUUGGAAACAAUUAUUUUGCAUAUGAAAGAAUUAUUUAAUAGAUUUUUUGAAUAGGAUUUUAAGUAAUUCGGUGAUUACAAACGCUCCAUGGGUGGUUAUAGUUUGAAUAGUUAGGGUCAAAGGUAGUUGUUGUUGUAUUGGUUGACAAAAUGAGCAAUAUGUGAUUAGACGGUAAAAAGUAAAAUUAAAUAAUUAUAUGGAUAAUUAAUGUUGAUACUAUAAAAAGUGACGAGAUAUGUUUAUAGUACCAAAUUCAUGGUUCUUUCUUUAUAUAUAGUGUAAAUUAGUUCUAAAGGCACACACAAUAUCAAUAUGUGUGCAUUUUAGAAAUACUUUUUUUACAAGUUAAUUUUAUCUAAAACUUCUUUCCCUAUCAAAUGAUGAUUAUUUUGGUACUUACAAUGUUUAGAGGCAGUUAUUUUAUCAAGAUGCGUUAAAAUAGUUAUGGGGGAAAAAAAUAUUUACAGCCAGUUAUCUUAACAAUUCAUGUUGAAAUAGUGAAGUAAUAAGUGAUUUUCACACAAGCAAAGUUCAAAGUGACAGCAAAUAUUUAUCCCAAACCUUCUACUUCUCCCUUUAUAUAUUAUAGAUGUUGACUUUAUUCUGGAUUAAAUAACGAUCAAAACAGACAAACUAAAAAAAAAAAAAAAAUUGAGUAAAAAAAUUCUUGGAUGCAGUUCAUUCGCACUUUUUCCUUCCAUAGUUAAUAACUUCCUGGAGAAUUUGUCAUUUCCUUGGAGUAUCUCGAGUUAGAAUUUAAAGAUAAAUUGAAAUCCUAUUUCCCUGGAGAACUGGAAAUACAUUUCUCGUCCCAGAUAUACGCAUUACCCAAAAAAUGCAAAACUAGUAGUCUCAGCUUGGGGCGUGACCGAUCAUAAUGAUUUGCAUCAUGUUUAUGCGUUUUAAACACAUUAAUUACCUUCCGACCGCCACUUUAGCAAUCUUUCAAGUUCCUCUGCCAAAAGCAUUAGCCAUUUUUGCGUCUCCGUUCGAACCAAUGGAUACCCGAAGGGGAAGCUUUUCGUUCCCGGGCCAGGCCGCUAUUAGAAAAAUGGACAUCUGACGGAGGAGCAGUCGCGUCAUUUUCUGAAGAAGAAACGGAAAUGGACAACGAGGACGACUUGGCGUUUGACAGGUGCGAAGACUUGGAAUGAAUCGUGAGCCUCCAAUGACUAAUCAGUCAGUCAUGCCUCUCUUCUCUUGCAAGUUGCAAUUAGCCAAUUCCUAGCACAAGUUGGAACUAUUAUUCCUGCCUAACGCGCUAAUCCGUUUCAAAGCCCCUAUUUGACAUUGUCUGUGAUUCAUAGAUCAGCCACGACUAGCUAGCUACGGAUACCAACAUUUUACCUACUCCCUCAAUCACGUCUUCACUGCAAAAUAUUUAUUAUAAUCCUAUAAAUAGCUUAGCAGGAUUGCAUCUCUUCCUCAAAUCCCCAUAACCCUUCAUUCCUUCGAUAAUUAUAUCCCUUCUGGAACACUCAUAUAACCCACCAAGAAAAAGAAUUAAAAAAACGAAGUUUUCUCAUAUGGGUCUGUGUAGUGUGUUACUGUUGGUAGUGAUGAUUGUUGGUGAAGUGCAAGUGAGCAGGGCAAUAAUAUGUAGUCCAACGGAGCUGAGUCCUUGCGUUGCGGCAUUCAUAUCGCAGCAGCCACCGUCGGGGGCUUGCUGCAGUAAGCUGAGGGAGCAGAGGCCCUGCUUCUGUGGUUAUCUCAGAGAUCCCUACCUCCGGCAGUAUGUCAACACCCCUAAUGGUCGCAGGGAGGCAAGCUUCUGUGGUGUGCCAUCCCCCCGAUGCUAAACUAAACUACUCCAUUACAAAAACUCUGGAUCAUUAAUGUUAUUGCUGCUGCUACUAGUGCUGCUUUGGACAAUACGAGCAAAAGAGUAAGAAAUAUUGUACCAAUAUCAAAUCUUACCUAUUAGACUUGUUAUGGUUCUUAUAAUGCGGGGAUUAAGCAAGCACACGUUUCUGCUUCAGCAUCUCUCCUUUCCCUUUAUUUAAUUCUAUUAUUACACUACGCAAUUGUCUUCUGAUGGAACCAACCAGAUAAUCCACAUAAGUGUGAUAUAACUAAUAUGAUUACGGGGGUCGAUCAGGUGAGAAUUUGCAUUUUGCAUCAGCUGGUGAGCUUAGAGUGUAGCCACAAGCUACUAAGUUUGUCUCUCUGACGGCAUUCUUACCAAAAAAUGCAAAGAGAAGAAUGAAACUCCACUAACAUAAGAGCCAACCGUCGUCGCGAAUUUGAGCUUCUAUGCUUGAUGAAUCCAAGUCGAAUUGAGAAAGAAGAAUAGAAAAAUCAGCAGGAAGGCAAAAGAAUUUGUAAGGAAUUAAUGGUAUUACAAACACAAAUCAGACCCUCAGUCCCAUUUAACUAGUGGCAAUUUGGUUUCACUCUUUCGUUCAUUUGAUGCCAAGUGUUCGAUUAAUUUUAGUUAAAAUUAAAUAUCACGUUUAAAAGAGAUACUGAAUUGCCACUGAGACAAUGGCGCUGAGGAUCUCAAUCGAUUACAAACAUGUCAAAAUAAAUUUAAAAAUUCUCACCAAUAUCGCAC